rnacentral:ncRNA from 17 species
UUUUUACUCCGCUGCCUUUCGUUUUUGGACUUUUCGUCCAGACUUAAUGCACACAACCUUACC